rnacentral:misc_RNA from 1 species
UCAUGGCCCUGGAGAGGAAAUGAAAGCGAAGGCUCAGAUACAAGGAGCACCCGCGUUAUGUGGCCCUGGUUGCAAAAUGAUCAAGAGAGUGAAACAGUUCAUCUGAGGAGUCCCACCUCAGGUGCAAAACCUGAAAGCCAGGCAAAUGAGGGUAAUCGACCCACCUAUAAUGAGGCUUCUGGUUCCUGGUCCUCUGUUAACGUUAACAGCACCAGCAGUGCCAGCAGCUGUGG